CACGAAGUUAGCCGGGGCUUCUUCUCCGGAUACCGUCAUUAUCUUCUCCGGUGAAAGUGCUUUACAACCCUAAGGCCUUCAUCACACACGCGGCAUGGCUGGAUCAGGCUUGCGCCCAUUGUCCAAUAUUCCCCACUGCUGCCUCCCGUAGGAGUUUGGGCCGUGUCUCAGUCCCAAUGUGGCUGAUCAUCCUCUCAGACCAGCUAUGGAUCGUCGCCUUGGUAGGCCUUUACCCCACCAACUAGCUAAUCCAACGCGGGCCGAUCCUUUACCGAUAAAUCUUUCCCCCGAAGGGCACAUACGGUAUUAGCUCCAGUUUCCCGGAGUUGUUCCGUAGUAAAGGGUACGUUCCCACGUGUUACUCACCCGUCUGCCACUCUCCUUGCGGAGCGUUCGACUUGCAUGUGUUAAGCCUGCCGCCAGCGUUCGUUCUGAGCCAGGAUCAAACUCU
rnacentral:rRNA from 1 species